UUUUUUCCUUUUUAUAUAUGUAUAAUUUAAAUUUAUUUAACUUAAUAUUAAUUUCUAGGUUCAGCAUCGAUUCUUAGGUGUCAUGGAGCAUCACUGACACAAUCAAGAGCUACUUCGUGGAACCGCAAUACAAUUGGGGCCGGAUUUCACAACAGAUUUUUGGCACUUGGUUCAAGUGUUUUACGGUAAUAAUAUAUAUUUUUAAUAUUUUUCUAUUUAUUUAUAAUUUAUUAUAUAUAAUGA
rnacentral:lncRNA from 1 species